AGCGAACGCCGGCGGCAGGCCUAACACAUGCAAGUCGAACGAAGUCUUCGGACUUAGUGGCGGACGGGUGAGUAACACGUGGGAACGUGCCUUUAGGUUCGGAAUAACUCAGGGAAACUUGAGCUAAUACCGUAUGUGCCCUUCGGGGGAAAGAUUUAUCGCCAUUGGAGCGGCCCGCGUCUGAUUAGCUAUUUGGUGAGGUAAAGGCUCACCAAGGCGACGAUCAGUAGCUGGUCUGAGAGGAUGAUCAGCCACAUUGGGACUGAGACACGGCCCAAACUCCUACGGGAGGCAGCAGUGGGGAAUCUUGCGCAAUGGGCGAAAGCCUGACGCAGCCAUGCCGCGUGAAUGAUGAAGGUCUUAGGAUUGUAAAAUUCUUUCACCGGGGACGAUAAUGACGGUACCCGGAGAAGAAGCCCCGGCUAACUUCGUGCCAGCCGCCGCAGUAAUAC
rnacentral:rRNA from 1 species